rnacentral:rRNA from 1 species
AUUGAACGCUGGCGGCAGGCCUAACACAUGCAAGUCGAACGAGUGGCGGACUGGUGAGUAAUGUCUGGGAAACUGCCCGAUGGAUGGGGAUAACUACUGGGAACGGUAGCUAAUACCGCAUACCAUCGGAUGUGCCCAGAUUGGAUUAGCGAGUAGGUGGGGUAACGGAUCACCUAGGCGACGAUCCCUAGCUGGUUUGAACCGAUGACCAGCCACAAGGGAAUGGAGACACGGGCCAGACUCCUACGGGAGGCAGCAGUGGGGACUAUGGCACACUGGGCGCAAGACUGAUGCAGCCAUGCCGCGUGUAUGAAGAAGGCAUUCGGGUUGUAAAGUACUUGCAGCGAGGAGGCGUUACUCGCAGAAGAAGCACCGGCUAACUCCGUGCCAGCAGCCGCGGUAAUAC